GCCUUCGUGGUGUAAUGGUUAGCACACUCGACCUGUAUUCGAGAGAUCCAAGUUCGAGUCCCUGCGAGGGCA